CGAAAGCAAUUUUUGAUUAUAAUUAAAAAUUUUUUUAAAAAAGUGACAAAAAUUUUAAUUUUUCAGGAAAUAACUUUUUUAAUUAAAAACCGUACCCUAAACCGACACAGGUGGAUAGGUCGAGUAGACUAAGGUGAAUGAGAGAACUAUAUUGAAGGAACUCGGCAAAAUGACUUUGUAACUUCGGGAUAAAAAGUACCUAAUUAUUAAAAAAAAUAAUGAGGUGUCACAAAAUAGGGGGUUGCGACUGUUUAAUAAAAACUUAGGACUCUGCUAAAUGGUAACAUGAUGUAUAGGGUCUGACACCUGCCCGGUGCUGGAAGAUUAAAAGGAGAUGUUUGCGCAUUAAAUGGAAGUCCCAGUAAACGGCGGCCGUAACUCUGACGGUCCUAAGGUAGCGAAAUUCCUUGUCGGGUAAGUUCCGACCUGCAUGAAUGGUGUAACGACAUCCCCGCUGUCUCCAAUAUAGACUCAGUGAAUUUGAAUUAUCCGUGAAGAUGCGGAUUUUCUAUAGUUAGACGGAAAGACCCCGUGAACCUUUACUACAUCUUUAUAUUGUUAUUUUAUCUAAUAUGUGUAGUAUAAGUGGUAAUCGUUUAGACCUUUACGCUAGUAAAUUGUUUAGAUAUUCUUGAAAUACCACUCUUAUUAUAAUAAAUAACUAAUAUUUUUUUAAAUAGACAUUGUAUGGUUGGUAGUUUGACUGGGGCGGUCACCUCCUAAAGAGUAACGGAGGUGUACAAAGGUAAGCUCAAAUUGGAUAAUAGUAUCAAUUGUAGAGCAUAAUGGUAAAAGCUUGCUUGACUGUAAGAUAGACAUAUCAAACAGGGACGAAAGUCGGUCAUAGUGAUCCGAUAAUUCUUUGUGGAAAGAUUAUCGCUCAACGGAUAAAAGGUACUCCGGGAUAACAGGCUGAUGACUCCUAAGAGCUCCUAUCGACGGAGUCGUUUGGCACCUCGAUGUCGACUCAUCAUCCUGGAGCUGAAGAAGGUUCCAAGGGUUCGGCUGUUCGCCGAUUAAAGUGGUACGUGAGUUGGGUUUAGAACGUCGUGAGACAGUUUGGUUCCUAUCUUCUAUAGAUAUUUUGAAAAAUGAAAGAAUCUAACUCUAGUACGAGAGGACCGAGAAGGGUAAAUCUCUGGUGUAUCGGUUGUUAAAAGGCAUCGCCGAGUAGCUAAAUUUAUUUUGGAUAAUUACUGAAAGCAUCUAAGUAAGAAACCAUUCUUAAAAUUUUUCAUAUAAAACUGUAAAAGACGAUUACAUUAAUAGGUUUUAAGUGUAAGUGUUGUAAAUAUUUAGCUUAAAAAUACUAAAAGUUUUAAAAAUUAAAAUA
rnacentral:rRNA from 1 species